UAGGGAAUCUUCGGCAAUGGACGAAAGUCUGACCGAGCAACGCCGCGUGAGUGAAGAAGGUUUUCGGAUCGUAAAACUCUGUUGUUAGAGAAGAACAAGGAUGAGAGUAAAAUGUUCAUCCCUUGACGGUAUCUAACCAGAAAGCCACGGCUAACUACGUGCCAGCAGCCGCGGUAAUACGUAGGUGGCAAGCGUUGUCCGGAUUUAUUGGGCGUAGAGCGAGCGCAGGCGGUUUCUUAAGUCUGAUGUGAAAGCCCCCGGCUCAACCGGGGAGGGUCAUUGGAAACUGGGAGACUUGAGUGCAGAAGAGGAGAGUGGAAUUCCAUGUGUAGCGGUGAAAUGCGUAGAUAUAUGGAGGAACACCAGUGGCGAAGGCGGCUCUCUGGUCUGUAACUGACGCUGAGGCUCGAAAGCGUGGGGAGCGAACAGGAUUAGAUACCCUGGUAGUCCACGCCGUAAACGAUGAGUGCUAAGUGUUGGAGGGUUUCCGCCCUUCAGUGCUGCAGCAAACGCAUUAAGCACUCCGCCUGGGGAAGUACGACCGCAAGGUUGAAAC
rnacentral:rRNA from 1 species